rnacentral:rRNA from 1 species
AUGUGGGCGACUCUAAGGAGACUAGCCGGUGACAAACCGGAGGAAGGUGGGGAUGACGUCAAGUCAUCAUGGCCCUUACGGCCUGGGCUACACACGUGCUACAAUGGUCGGUACAAAGGGUUGCCAAGCCGCGAGGUGGAGCUAAUCCCAUAAAACCGAUCGUAGUCCGGAUCGCAGUCUGCAACUCGACUGCGUGAAGUCGGAAUCGCUAGUAAUCGUGAAUCAGAAUGUCACGGUGAAUACGUUCCCGGGCCUU